CACUGUCGGGAAUGGGCUUUGAAGAAUUGGCAGUCUUGUUAUUAUCCUUUCUCGGUUUUGAAGAAGAGGAUAUAUUUGAGGUAAAUUGAUUUAAAUCAUCUUCAUUCAAAUGGGUGGGUGCAUUUGUAGAGCUAAUGGGUUGUGUCAAGUCCAUUAUUUGCUCUUCCAUGGAUCGUGACGAUGGACGAAUGGGGGAAAGGAGAGUUAAAUGUGAGUUUUCGAUAUUAAAGGCGGAGGUGGUAUCCAUUUCUUCUUCUCCAUUAGUUAAAUCGUUCGGAGAAUGAUUAGUUAAGUGAGGAUUAGCAUUAAUUGGUCGGGUAAGGUUCAUAGGCGCUUCUUCUAAGUUUUGUAAAUCUAA